rnacentral:rRNA from 1 species
AGUCGAACGAUGACCCGGUGCUUGCACCGGUGAUUAGUGGCGAACGGGUGAGUAACACGUGAGUAACCUGCCCUUGACUCUGGGAUAAGCCUGGGAAACUGGGUCUAAUACCGGAUAUGACCUUCCAUCGCAUGGUGGUUGGUGGAAAGCUUUUGUGGUUUUGGAUGGACUCGCGGCCUAUCAGCUUGUUGGUGAGGUAAUGGCUUACCAAGGCGACGACGGGUAGCCGGCCUGAGAGGGUGACCGGCCACACUGGGACUGAGACACGGCCCAGACUCCUACGGGAGGCAGCAGUGGGGAAUAUUGCACAAUGGGCGCAAGCCUGAUGCAGCGACGCCGCGUGAGGGAUGACGGCCUUCGGGUUGUAAACCUCUUUCAGUAGGGAAGAAGCGAAAGUGACGGUACCUGCAGAAGAAGCGCCGGCUAACUACGUGCCAGCAGCCGCGGUAAUACGUAGGGCGCAAGCGUUAUCCGGAAUUAUUGGGCGUAAAGAGCUCGUAGGCGGUUUGUCGCGUCUGCCGUGAAAGUCCGGGGCUCAACUCCGGAUCUGCGGUGGGUACGGGCAGACUAGAGUGAUGUAGGGGAGACUGGAAUUCCUGGUGUAGCGGUGAAAUGCGCAGAUAUCAGGAGGAACACCGAUGGCGAAGGCAGGUCUCUGGGCAUUAACUGACGCUGAGGAGCGAAAGCAUGGGGAGCGAACAGGAUUAGAUACCCUG